rnacentral:tRNA from 1 species
GGGGUUGUGGUUCACUGGUAGAAAAUCUGCUUUGCAUGCAGAAGGUCCCAGAUUCAAUCCAAGCAUCCUCA